GUUCUUUGAUAUGCCGAAUCUAACUAUGUAUGUAGAUUCUUAAUUUUUGGUCCCGUUUUCAAAUUGGUCUACAUUAAGGUCCAAAGGGUCCAAAAUUAAACUUAAGUUUGAUUUUAACAAAAAUUGAAUCCUUGGGGUUCUUUGAUAUGCUGAAUUUAAAAAUGUACUUAGAUUUUUAAUUAUUGGCCUAGUUUUCAAGUUGGUCCAAAUGGGGGUCCAAAUUUAAACUUUGUUUGAUUUCAUCAAAAAUUGAAUAAAUGGGUUCUUUGAUAUGC
rnacentral:lncRNA from 1 species